rnacentral:lncRNA from 1 species
CCCUGCAUACAUGCACGCUAAGUUUCUUGCUCAUUUGGCAGAAAGGCAAUGAAUGGCAGCGCCUCACUUAGACCCUUUCCUGACUGUCAUGCCUUUUCUCAGCUGCUGCCACGGCUUUGGCUGAAGAUGGUUUGAGACUAUCUGUGGAGGUUUCCCCUGGCGGUGGAAAGUCUUCAUUCUAAACCUAGAGACUUAUAUCUCCUUCCAUUCUUACCCCCCCACACAACCCCCCCCCCCCCCCCAGUCCCCGUUCUCCUGAGACCAGCAAUAGCUGACUAGCACAAGUGUACAGAUUCCCUGUCUGGCCUUGAAGGCAACCUGGUGGCAGAGAUGAGCACCUUUUUGGAUGAGGGAGUUCUUAGCUGAGGGGAGGAAUCCUUAUCUUCAGGAAGGCUUUUGUGGGUCUGCCAUGCCCUCUUUUGGAUUCUUAUCCCUCAUUUCUGCUUCAGUCCCUGCCCACCCCACCCCCACCCUCCCCAAAGCAACAUUACCAGCUCUGUCUGGUCCUGGAGGGGGAAGUUGAGGGCUACAUUUGUUGGAAAGAGAGACUCUAGAUUGGUCUAUAAGUCCCACCCUGUGAUGGUUUGUAUAUGCUUGGCCCAGGGAGUGGCACUAUUAGGAGGUGUGGCCUUGUUGGAGUAGGUAUUAGACUCUAGCUGCCUGGAGGCCAUUCUUCUAUCAGUCUUCCUAUGAAGAUGUAGAACUCUCAGCCCCUUCUGUACCAUGCCUGCCUGAGCACUGCCAUGCUCCUACCUUGAUGAUAAUGGAUUGAACCUCUGAACCUGUAAGCCAGCUCCAAUUAAAUGCUGUCCUUAUAAGAGUUGCCUUGGUUAUGGUGUCUGUUCACAGCAGUAAAACCCUAACUAAGACACAUCCCAAGGCUCAUCAGAAUAGGAAAUUGCCACUUUCUGAAGCCAGAUGAGAAUGCACUAUAAGUCCCGAGCUGUCCCCUGGGAGAGUGCAAGAACCAAACUGAAAGCAAGCAGGCUGCCUGGUUAGCAGGCACCAGGCCUAGGCUGUGGUUCGGAGUCCCCACUGCAGCCAGACCUGUGGAAUGCUGAGUCACUGCCCUGGGAGGCCUUGUGGGGUUUUUCCAUAACUCUGAGGUUUGGAAGUGCCCCAGCCUCUCUUGCUCUAGUUGGAGUUUCAUCUUCUGCUUUCCCAGAGGCUUUCAGCCCUCUCUGAGAAUCAGCUGCGAAAGGCAAAAAAUAGGUGAAAGCCCAGAACACAGGAGCCAUGCUGGGAGAGCCAUCGAUCAACUGACUGAGCAAAUAUUGGCUAUGCAUAUGAUUAUGACUUAAUCAGACUUCUCUGGCUUGGCCACUUACGAGAA